GACGAACGCUGGCGGCGUGCUUAACACAUGCAAGUCGAACGGAAAGGCCCUGCUUUUGUGGGGUGCUCGAGUGGCGAACGGGUGAGUAACACGUGAGUAACCUGCCCUUGACUUUGGGAUAACUUCAGGAAACUGGGGCUAAUACCGGAUAGGAGCUCCUGCUGCAUGGUGGGGGUUGGAAAGUUUCGGCGGUUGGGGAUGGACUCGCGGCUUAUCAGCUUGUUGGUGGGGUAGUGGCUUACCAAGGCUUUGACGGGUAGCCGGCCUGAGAGGGUGACCGGCCCCAUUGGGACGGAGAUACGGCCCAGACUCGUACGGGAGGCAGCAGUGGAGAAUAUUGCACAAUGGGCGGAAGCCUGAUGCAGCAACGCCGCGUGCGGGAUGACGGCCCUCGGGUUGUAAACCGCUUUCGCCUGUAACGAAGCGUGAGUGACGGUAAUGGGUAAAGAAGCACCGGCUAACUACGUG
rnacentral:rRNA from 1 species